UACGGUAAUAUCAUGUUGAAACAAUUGUUCUCGUACGAUCAACGAAGUUAAGCAACGUCGAGCCUGAUCGGUAUCUAGAUGAAUGACCGCUUGGGAAUAACAGGUGCUGUAAG